CCGACGGUGAGGGGCGAAAGCUGGGGGAGCAAACCGGAUUAGAUACCCGGGUAGUCCCAGUCGUAAACGAUGUGCGUUAGGUGUAUCGGUGACCACGAGUCACCGAGGUGCCGAAGAGAAAUCGUGAAACGUACCGCCUGGGAAGUACGGUCGCAAGGCUGAAACUUAAAGGAAUUGGCGGGGGAGCACCACAACAGGUGGAGCCUGCGGUUUAAUCGGACUCAACGCCGGGAAACUCACCAGAUAA
rnacentral:rRNA from 1 species